GAUGAAGAACGUAGCGAAAUGCGAUACGUAGUGUGAAUUGCAGAAAUACGUGAACCAUCGAAUCUUUGAACGCAUAUUGCGCUCGAGGCUUCGGCCAAGAGCAUGUCUGCCUCAGCGUCGGGUUAAUCCUCACCAUCCCAUUCCCUGAAUGUCAUGGUGGAUAUGGCUUUCCCAGGCCUUGUGUCUGGGUUCGCUGAAGCACAGAGGUUGAUGCAUGGACCCGUUAUGGGCCGCAACUGGGUAGGCAACUUGUUGCUGAAUGCUUUAGUUGUUGGCUUGGGACUGUGCCGUCGACCCGAAAUCAGGAAGGGCUUCGGCCCUAUUAACCUUUAUCUCGACCUGAGCUCAGGCAAGAACACCCGCUGAACUUAAGCAUAUCAAUAAGCGGAGGA
rnacentral:misc_RNA from 1 species